GCCGGGUGCGGUGGCGCGCGCCUGUAAUCCAAGCUCCCGGGAGGCUGAGGCUGGAGGAUCGUUUGAGCUCAGGACCUCUGAGCUGCAGCGGACUAUGUCGAUCGGGUGUCCGUACUAAGUUCGGUAUCGAUAUGGUGCUCCUGGGGGAGCCCGGGACCACCAGGUCGUCUAAGGAGGGGUGCACCGGCCCAGGUCGGAGACGGAGCAGGUCAAAGCCCCCGUGCCGCUCAGUAGUGGGAUCGCGCCUGUGAAUAGACGCUGUAGUGCAGCCUGAGUAACACAGCGGGACCCAGUCUUUA
rnacentral:SRP_RNA from 1 species